rnacentral:rRNA from 1 species
GGACCCGCACAAGCGGUGGAGCAUGUGGUUUAAUUCGAUGCAACGCGAAGAACCUUACCUGGUCUUGACAUCCAUGGGAUCCCGAAGAGAUUUGGGAGUGCCGCAAGGAACCAUGAGACAGGUGCUGCAUGGCUGUCGUCAGCUCGUGUCGUGAGAUGUUGGGUUAAGUCCCGCAACGAGCGCAACCCUUGUCCUUAGUUGCCAUCAUUAAGUUGGGAACUCUAAGGAGACCGCCGGUGACAAACCGGAGGAAGGUGGGGAUGACGUCAAGUCAUCAUGGCCUUUAUGACCAGGGCUACACACGUGCUACAAUGGCAAGUACAGAGGGACGCCAACCGGUGACGGGGAGCCAAUCCCAGAAAACUUGUCGUAGUCCGGAUUGGAGUCUGCAACUCGACUCCAUGAAGUUGGAAUCGCUAGUAAUCGCAGAUCAGCAUUGCUGCGGUGAAUACGUUCCCGGGUCUU